ACAGGGAUUGCCCUAGUAACGGCGAGUGAAGCGGCAACAGCUCAAAUUUGAAAUCUGGCGUCUUCGGCGUCCGAGUUGUAAUUUGCAGAGGGCGCUUUGGCAUUGGCAGCGGUCCAAGUUCCUUGGAACAGGACGUCACAGAGGGUGAGAAUCCCGUACGUGGUCGCUAGCCUUUACCGUGUAAAGCCCCUUCGACGAGUCGAGUUGUUUGGGAAUGCAGCUCUAAAUGGGAGGUAAAUUUCUUCUAAAGCUAAAUACUGGCCAGAGACCGAUAGCGCACAAGUAGAGUGAUCGAAAGAUGAAAAGCACUUUGGAAAGAGAGUUAAAAAGCACGUGAAAUUGUUGAAAGGGAAGCGCUUGCAGCCAGACUUGCCUGUAGUUGCUCAUCCGGGUUUCUACCCGGUGCACUCUUCUACGGGCAGGCCAGCAUCAGUUUGGGCGGUUGGAUAAAGGUCUCUGUCAUGUACCUCUCUUCGGGGAGAACUUAUAGGGGAGACGACAUGCAACCAGCCUGGACUGAGGUCCGCGCAUCUGCUAGGAUGCUGGCGUAAUGGCUGUAAGCGGCCCGUCUUGAAACACGGACCAAGGAGUCUAACAUCUAUGCGAGUGUUUGGGUGUCAAGCCCGAGCGCGUAAUGAAAGUGAACGGAGGUGGGAACCUUUCGGGGUGCACCAUCGACCGAUCCUGAUGUCUUCGGAUGGAUUUGAGUAAGAGCAUAGCUGUUGGGACCCGAAAGAUGGUGAACUAUGCUUGAAUAGGGUGAAGCCAGAGGAAACUCUGGUGGAGGCUCGCAGCGGUUCUGACGUGCAAAUCGAUCGUCAAAUUUGGGCAUAGGGGCGAAAGACUAAUCGAACUAUCUAGUAGCUGGUUCCUGCCGAAGUUUCCCUCAGGAUAGCAGUAACGUUUUCAGUUUUAUGAGGUAAAGCGAAUGAUUAGAGGCCUGGGGGUUGAAACAACCUU
rnacentral:rRNA from 1 species